rnacentral:rRNA from 1 species
CAAUAUCUAGUUNGUGAGGUAACGGCUCACCAAGGCGACNAUGCGUAGCCCACCUGAGAGGGUGAUCGGCCACNCUGGGACUGANACACGGCCCAAACUCCUACCGGAGGCAGCAGUAGGGAAUCUUCCGCAAUGGACGAANGUCUGACGGANCANCGCCCCGUGAGUGAUGAANGUUUUCGGAUCGUAAAACUCUUUUGUUAGGGAAGAACAAGUACCGUUNGAAAAGGGGGGUACCUUUGACGGUNCCUAACCAGAAAGCCACGGCUAAAUUACCUGNCAGCCAGCCCCGGUUAAUUACCUACGUGGCAAGCGUU